rnacentral:tRNA from 1 species
AGUUUGAUGCCUGACUAAAGGGCUACCUCGAUACGGUAAAUCAUGUAAAAUUUUACUCAAGCUA